rnacentral:rRNA from 1 species
UACGGAAGGGGCAAGCGUUGUUCGGAAUCAUUGGGCGUAAAGAGCUCGUAGGCGGUCUGUCGCGUCGGCUGUGAAAACCCGCGGCUCAACCUCGGGCCUGCAGUCGAUACGGGCAGACUUGAGGCAUGCAGGGGAGAACGGAAUUCCUGGUGUAGCGGUGAAAUGCGCAGAUAUCAGGAGGAACACCGGUGGCGAAGGCGGUUCUCUGGGCAUGUUCUGACGCUGGAGGAGCGAAAGUGUGGGGAGCGAACAGG